AUUGAACGCUGGCGGCAUGCCUUACACAUGCAAGUCGAACGGCAGCACGGGUGCUUGCACCUGGUGGCGUGUGGCGAACGGGUGAGUAAUACAUCGGAACAUGUCCUGUAGUGGGGGAUAGCCCGGCGAAAGCCGGAUUAAUACCGCAUACGAUCCACGGAUGAAAGCGGGGGACCUUCGGGCCUCGCGCUAUAGGGUUGGCCGAUGGCUGAUUAGCUAGUUGGUGGGGUAAAGGCCUACCAAGGCGACGAUCAGUAGCUGGUCUGAGAGGACGACCAGCCACACUGGGACUGAGACACGGCCCAGACUCCUACGGGAGGCAGCAGUGGGGAAUUUUGGACAAUGGGCGAAAGCCUGAUCCAGCAAUGCCGCGUGUGUGAAGAAGGCCUUCGGGUUGUAAAGCACUUUUGUCCGGAAAGAAAUCCUUGGCUCUAAUACAGUCGGGGGAUGACGGUACCGGAAGAAUAAGCACCGGCUAACUACGUG
rnacentral:rRNA from 1 species